rnacentral:piRNA from 1 species
UGAACGCAGAGCAGGGAGCUUCAGAUGGGA